AAAUUGAAGAGUUUGAUCAUGGCUCAGAUUGAACGCUGGCGGCAGGCCUAACACAUGCAAGUCGAACGGUAACAGGAAGCAGCUUGCUGCUUCGCUGACGAGUGGCGGACGGGUGAGUAAUGUCUGGGAAACUGCCUGAUGGAGGGGGAUAACUACUGGAAACGGUGGCUAAUACCGCAUAACGUCGCAAGACCAAAGAGGGGGACCUUCGGGCCUCUUGCCAUCAGAUGUGCCCAGAUGGGAUUAGCUAGUUGGUGAGGUAACGGCUCAC
rnacentral:rRNA from 3 species